UUACUGUUGGGUCUCAGUCUGAACAAAGCAACACAAACGCCAUUGUCCCCUACUGAAUCCUAACAGAAAUAAGGCCAUACAAUAUGUAUGAUGUGUUGAUUCCAAGGUAGACACCUUAACGUUAACGGGAAUCGGUCCUGUAAAGAACUAGGUGUGAAACCGGCAAACAUCAAUGUCGCCGGCAGCUGGAUUUCGUCUUUCUUCUGUCCUGCGGCUGCCGCUCAACUAUCAAAUUAUAAGAAGUUAUACGUGCUACCUGUAUCUGACGCACAGGUAAUUCACGAGCGUUUGCCUGUGACGUCAGGACAAUUUGAACUCACUUUCCAUUGUCACCUGCCUCAGACGACGGCAGACAGAUAUCACCUUUUCAUAUUGUUGAUGUUUCUACUUACAGAUCUGUCAGCGCAGGGUAACAGGUUCGACUUGGCUAGGCUGUGUGAAGAAGCUGGUUACUGGAAGUACAACAUAGUCACAUCGGUAUCACGUCGGUUUGGCAUUACCCUCCUGAAUGCCAUGAUGGCAGCACUGGUAGCCAUGUGCCUCGUCUUCAUGACAUUUCCUGACAGGGUACCAGGUGAAAACUUCCAGCAAACACUGUUCAGAAAAGACAUGAAUUUUGACGAUAUAACUGUUUCAGAAAAUGUUGUUUUAGAAGCAUCUAAAAUUGAGACAGUCACCUCCUGUGCCAGAUUAUGUGCUGAGCACUCGAAAUGUGAAUCAUUCUUUUACAACCGAGUUCUUCAAGUCUGCAGUGGCCAACCUUCUUCUCUGGACACGACUACUGCUGGCUUCAGUCAACCAGGGUCCAAGUACUUCAAACAAGACUUGGUAAUUCCUGAAAAGGUCAAUGGCAGCUGUUUCCACAAUGCAACUGAGACCGCCAGUAGCAGUGCUGCCGAGGCCGUAUGCGGGCCUGGAAAAAUGUUGAAGCUCGCUGAAGUGGGUAACCCGACGCCACUGGUGACUCGAGAGAUGAUUGUUGACGGGCAUUGCAUGGAGGACAGAUGGAAUAGCGGGACGACUGUGUCCUUCUUCUGCAUCAGACACUGCCUGAUGUAUCCACUCGACUCGACUCAAGAUUGUACCUCCGCUGUCAUACAAUCUCAGUAUGUCUGUCUAUAAAGACGAUACACACUAAAUAUCGAAACAUAUUUAGACUAUUUAUGUCUAUUUUGCUAAUGUCUACUUUCGUCUAAUAUUGCAAAACGAAUAAAACUUUGUGACGAAUCACUUUCAGAUCAAGUUCAAAUCCUGGUAAUAUCAUGGUGUUUUCACUGUGAAUUAAUACUUUUGUUGUUGCGUAUAAUGCUCUUCGUAUGAAAAUAACACGACAGUAUUAUCGCAGGAUGAAUAUUGGAUCCAUUAUCUCUUGACUUUGAUUUGUAAUUAGAACUGCAUAUGCUGUCGUAUCCACAUUCAGAUUUGUUAUCCAAUAACCGACACCGUUCAAUGAGAAGACAGAUAAAUGAUGUCCCCCAAAUGGCCCCCUUUUUUCGCCGCUGAUUACAUUAAUAUGAUUAUGUAAUGAUGGAAAUGUAAUCCAAAUAUGUCAAGUACAUAAUUUAUCCUGAUUAGUUGUGAUAAAUUUUACAUGAUAAUUAUUUCGUUGCUUUUAACUUGCGAAGUAUUAAAAAGUGAAAUCCUAUAGCAAAUCAAACUUUCACUCAGCACUGUGCCAGCAUGCAUGCCCUCACUACCACCAAUCAGUGUAUUACUCCACUUUAAACAUUGUUAGAUAAGUUAAGCUUCUUUUCAGAUCUGACCUGAUCUUGUUUUGAAUACAUAUUCACUUGGUGCAAAAUCUCAUGUAGCUUGGUAUGCGUUGACUGUGUUUCUUCCAUAAGUGUACAGGCGUUUUCAGUCGUCGGAUCACCUUUUUCUUAUUUGUAAGUGUUACUUUAUUGUGUGCGUCUUCAAUUCAUUAUCUAUUCUGAUAUCACUAGAUUAUCGAUACCAUGCACCAAGCAAGUAUUUCGCUGACUGUGGCUUCAUGCAGCAACCAAGCACACGAUAAGAUAGACGAGAGUCAGGACCAAUUAAUUAGAAUGUGUAUGGUCAAUAUGAUGUUCCAGGUUGAGAGCAACAGAUCUAGAUUACUAAUUAUAUUACAAAUACCUCAUUAUACUAAACACUCCAUAAAUAGUUUGAAUGAAUCACAGUAUAUGGUUUGGUUUGCACAGAUAAGCUUUAUAUCCUGUAUUUUUUAAACUGCAAAUUACGGAUAAUUGUUUUAAGGUUCAUUGUGUUCGCUUAACAUUUAGCAUUGUGCCUGUACGUGUUAGAUAGAUGUUACAGUUAGAUAUUUCAUUGUUAUUGUACGUUUGAGAUAGAUGUUACAGUUUAGAUUGUUACUGUACGUUUUAGAUAGAUGUUACAGUUUAGAUCAUUCAUUGUUCCUGUACGUUUUAGAUAGAUGUUACAGUUUAGAUCAUUCAUUGUUACUGUACGUGUUAGAUAGAUGUUACAGUUUAGAUCAUUCAUUGUUCCUGUACCUAUUAGAUAGAUGUUACAGUUUAGAUCAUUCAUUGUUCCUCUACGUAUUAGAUAGAUGUUACAGUUUAGAUAAUUCAUUGUUACUGUACGUUUGAGAUAGGUGUUACAGUUUAGAUUGUUACUGUACGUUUUAGAUAGAUGUUACAGUUUGUUACAGGUUAGAUCAUUCAAUCUUCCUGUACGUUUGAGAUAGAUGUUACAGUUUAGAUUAUUCAUUGUUACUGUACGUUUUAGAGAGAUGUUACAGUUUAUAUCAAUCGUUGUUACUGUACGUUUUAGAUAGCUGUUACAGUUUAGAUCAUUCAUUGUUUCUGUACGCUUGAGAUAGAUGUUACAGUUUAGAUUGUUGCUGUACGUUUGAGAUAGAUGUUACAGUUUAGAUCAUUCAUUGUUGCUGUACGCUUGAGAUAGAUGUUACAGUUUAGAUUGUUACUGUACGUGUUAGAUAGAUGUUACAGUUUUGAUCAUUCAUUGUUACUGUACGUUUUAGAUAGAUGUUACAGUUUAGAUCAUUCAUUGUUCUUGUACGUUUUAGAGAGUUGUUACAGUUUAGAUCAUUCAUUAUUACUGUACGUUUUAGAUAGAUGUUACAGUUUAGAUCAUUAAUUGUUGCUGUACGUGUUAGAGACAUGUUACAGUUUAGAUCAUUCAUUGUUCCUGUACGUUUGAAAUAGAUUUUACAGUUUAGAUUUUACUGAGUCCCGGAAGAGGGUGGAGACUCGUUGUUUGUCAACUUGUAUAGAUAGAGGAUGAAGAGUCCCGGAAGAGGGUGGAGACUCGUUGUUUGUCAACCUGUAUAGAUAGAGGAUGA
rnacentral:misc_RNA from 1 species